rnacentral:rRNA from 1 species
UUGACGCUGGCGGCAGGCCCUAACACAUGCAAGUCGNACCNAGGCACCCAAUCNNCUUGCUUGNUUCGCUGACGAGUGGCGGACGGGUGAGUAAUGUCUGGGAAACUGCCUGAUGGAGGGGGAUAACUACUGGAAACGGUAGCUAAUACCGCAUAACGUCGCAAGACCAAAGAGGGGGACCUUCGGGCCUCUUGCCAUCGGAUGUGCCCAGAUGGGAUUAGCUUGUUGGUGGGGUAACGGCUCACCUAGGCGACGAUCCCUAGCUGGUCUGAGAGGAUGACCAGCCACACUGGAACUGAGACACGGUCCAGACUCCUACGGGAGGCAGCAGUGGGGAAUAUUGCACAAUGGGCGCAAGCCUGAUGCAGCCAUGCCGCGUGUAUGAAGAAGGCCUUCGGGUUGUAAAGUACUUUCAGCGGGGAGGAAGGGAGUAAAGUUAAUACCUUUGCUCAUUGACGUUACCCGCAGAAGAAGCACCGGCUAACUCCGUGCCAGCAGCCGCGGUAAUACGGAGGGUGCAAGCGUUAAUCGGAAUUACUGGGCGUAAAGCGCACGCAGGCGGUUUGUUAAGUCAGAUGUGAAAUCCCCGGGCUCAACCUGGGAACUGCAUCUGAUACUGGCAAGCUUGAGUCUCGUANANGGGGGUANAAUUCCAGGUGUAGCGGUGAAAUGCGUANAGAUCUGGAGGAAUACCGGUGGCGAANGCGGCCCCCUGGACNAANACUGACGCUCAGGUGCGAAAGCGUGGGGGAGCAACAGGAUUANAUACCCUGGUAGUCCNCNCCGUAACNAUGUCCACUUGGAAGUUGUGCCCUUGAGGCGUGGCUUCCGGAACUANCNNUUUAAUCCACCCNUGGGGAUUCCGCCNCAGGNUNAACUCAAUGAUUGANGGGCCCCCCAACGNNGGAACNGUGUUUAUUCUAUGCACCCAAAACUUUCUGNNUNAAUCNANAAUUNCAAAAGANUGNCCUCGAACUGGAANAGGCUUUGU